UCAAGCGACUAAGUGUAUGUGGUGGAUGCCUUGGCGAUCACAGGCGAUGAAGGACCCGGCAGCCUGGGAAAAGCCGUGGGGAGCUGGCAAGCAAGCUUUGAUCCACGGAUGUCCGAAUGAGGAAACUCACUUCCUUCGGGAAGUAUCAAUGAGUGAAUACAUAGCUCAUUGAGGCGAACGCAGUGAACUGAAACAUCUAAGUAACUGCAGGAACAGAAAUCAACCGAGAUUCUGAAAGUAGCGGCGAGCGAAAUUGGAAGAGCCUGCAAGCGUUAGCGGAUUCGAUACCGGAACGGUCUGGAAAGGCCGGCUACAGAGGGUGACAGCCCCGUACGGGAAAUUGGAUCUGUGAGACUAGGCUUGCGACAAGUAGGGCGGGACACGAGAAAUCCUGUCUGAAGAUGGGGGGACCAUCCUCCAAGGCUAAAUACUCGUGAUCGACCGAUAGUGAACCAGUACUGUGAAGGAAAGGUGAAAAGAACCCCGGGAGGGGAGUGAAAUAGAUCCUGAAACCGCAUACAUACAAACAGUAGGAGCCCGCAAGGGUGACUGCGUACCUUUUGCAUAAUGGGUCAGCGACUUACGUUCAAUGGCAAGCUUAACCGAGUAGGGGAGGCGCAGCGAAAGCGAGUCCGAACAGGGCGAAAUUCAGUCGUUGGGCGUAGACCCGAAACCAGAUGAUCUAUCCAUGGUCAGGCUGAAGGUGUGGUAACACACACUGGAGGGCCGAACCGACUAGUGUUGCAAAAUUAGCGGAUGAGCUGUGGAUAGGGGUGAAAGGCUAAACAAAUCUGGAGAUAGCUGGUUCUCCCCGAAAACUAUUGAGGUAGUGCCUCGUGUAUGGCUCCAGGGGGUAGAGCACUGUUAUGGCUAGGGGGACAUGGCGUCUUACCAAACCAUGGCAAACUCCGAAUACUUGGAAGUCUGAGCACGGGAGACAGAGCACCGGGUGCUAACGUCCGGACUCAAAAGGGAAACAACCCAGACCGCCGGCUAAGGUCCCUAAUAUUGACUAAGUGGAAAACGAAGUGGAAAGGCUAAGACAGUCAGGAAGUUGGCUUAGAAGCAGCCAUCCUUCAAAGAAAGCGUAAUAGCUCACUGAUCGAGUCUUCCUGCGCGGAAGAUGUAACGGGGCUAAGUCAAUAACCGAAGCCGCGGAUUCACACUUGUGUGUGAGUGGUAGGGGAGCGUUCUGUAAGCCUGCGAAGGUGACUCGUAAGGGUUGCUGGAGGUAUCAGAAGUGCGAAUGCUGACAUGAGUAACGUUAAAGCGGGUGAAAAGCCCGCUCGCCGCAAGCCCAAGGUUUCCUGCUCUACGUUCAUCGGAGCAGGGUGAGUCGGCCCCUAAGGCGAGGCUGAGAAGCAUAGCUGAUGGGAACCAGGUUAAUAAUCCUGGACCGAUUGCAGGUGCGAAGGAGGGACGGAGUGCUGAAGGUCAUCCGGGUGUUGGAUAUCCCGGUUUGCGAGCGUAGGAAGCCGGCAGGCAAAUCCGCCGGCGAAUUUCCGAGGCGAAGCAUCGAGGCUGGUUUCAGCUGAAGUGACUGAAUGGACUUCCAGGAAAAGCUUCUAAGCAUCAGCCUGCAAUUGACCGUACCGCAAACCGACACUGGUGGGCGAGCUGAAUAUGCUCAGGCGCUUGAGAGAACUCAGGAGAAGGAACUCGGCAAAUUGACACCGUAACUUCGGGAUAAGGUGUGCCUUUGUAGUGUGAAGGGAGAAACGCCCCGAGCAUGAAGAGGUCUCAGAGAAUUGGUGGCUGCAACUGUUUACUAAAAACACAGCACUCUGCAAAGACGAAAGUCGACGUAUAGGGUGUGAUGCCUGCCCGGUGCUGGAAGAUUAAUUGAUGGGGUGCAAGCUCCUGAUCGAAGUCCCAGUAAACGGCGGCCGUAACUAUAACGGUCCUAAGGUAGCGAAAUUCCUUGUC
rnacentral:rRNA from 1 species